rnacentral:rRNA from 1 species
GGCCACUACACAACUCGCGCGCCGUAUCCAAUCCUGGCCCAAUCCCAUGCCCAGCCUCUUUCCCUUCCAAUCUCCAGUGGCCACACCCUCUCUCCUCCCGCACGAACCCUAGAAAAUGCCAGCCGCCGCCCUCACUCCUCCCAGCCGCCUCCAUGCUCUCUUCCCCCUCCUCCUCCAUCCUCCCGCAUCUCAUCCAUCUCGCCGGAUCCCAGGCGUGGGAGCACAGAGGCGAGCUUCUACGGCAGCGGCGGGAGACUGCAGGCAAAGGGCGACCCCAUGGAUCCGUGUCCAGCCCUCCUCAUCCCGGUUCCCAUGGAUCCGAGGCUUGUAGGCACGGAGGCGAACUGCCUCGGCGGCGGCGGCAACUGCAGGCAAGGGGCAAUGGUGGUGCCGCUCCAUCUGAUCUGCACGAGAGGGACAAGAUGAGAGGGAGAGAGAGCAUUAGAACAUCGAAUUCAACCGGCUUACAAGUUGAAGAGAAGGUUAAGUACGCUCCUUGUGAGCAGUACUGAGUAAUCUAAUGAUCUGCUCCAUGCAAUCUAAGAAAAAUAAAUGUGCAAGCCAUUUCUGAUAGAAGAAUAUUUGAACAAUCAGUACUUCACCGCGGUAAUCUACAGGAAGGCAAGGAUAACUAUAUUAAACAUUUCACGAGAUCCUUCCAAUUAUUGGCACAAACUCCUUUUCAAGAUAUUACAAGUGUGGUUGUCUACCGGAGAUUAUCAGAUGGAAAGAACGUAUAUCCUUCAUCUUUAUUUAGAUGUUUAAUUAGAUGCACAAGCGUACAUGAUUCUGUGCCAUAUCCCUUUUCUAUCCAGCUGCUGCAUUCUUUUCUUUCAUAUGUGUUGUCAUGGUCAUUAGUUUAGAUUGUGUUAAUAUUUAUGAUAUGGCCCAGAGUUGUGUUUUGUUUUUGCUCAUGCUUGCUGCUUGCAUGAUUGAACAUCUGGUGUUUUGUCUGAUCAACCAUUUUUGUGCAGUAGUAUUCAUUUUAUCCUUGAUCAUGUGCGUGUGUACAUCUACUGAAGUAGUUUUAAUUGAUAUAAAAGUUUUGAUUUAUUGCAGCAAUUUGACUUUAACCAGCCAUAGUCUACAAGGAACAUUAGGAGUAGACUAUGACUUUCCAUCUGGAAAGUGUUUUCUAUGCAGAAUUGGUUAGCAUUAUCUCUAGAUACAAUGUUUACUAUUCAAUAGAUAAUUUACAUGUUGUCGCAAAGUGAUGUUUCUUCAACUGUACAGACUGAUGGUGAUGACAUAUACUUAUAUGCCCAUUAUCGGGUGAUAGCUAUUGUUCUCUACCAAUGGUAUGUUUGCAACUGCAACCCAUAUUCCAAUGAUGGCCAUAGCCGAGACGACAUGCAUCAGCGGGGAGAAUCACCACAACGGACUGCAUCUGCCCAGACGAUUUUUGCAACGGCCACGACGAAGUGCAUCUCUCAAUUCCAGGAUCAGCAUGCUGGAUGAAUCCUCCUUGCCUGUUAAGUUGCAAUGGUGCAACCAAACACCAUGGAGGCUUUUGUAUUAGGGACGGUGAAUCUGCAUCGAUAGUGAUGGAUGGAAAUUGCUCGCCCUCCUUCCUCCAUAAACCAUGGGGACCUUGUAUAGUUGUAUUAGCCUCCCCAUCUAUCCGUCAGGAAGCCCUGACUUUCCCUGCUAUUGCUGUCGAAAACGCUACCCUUGCAGAACAUGAACCGAACUUAAGUAUCGCACAUGGAGCUUCAGGUAACAAAUCUGAAAGAACCAAAAUUAAUGUAUGACAUGUCUUUUGUCACAACGCCUCUCUCUUAUUUUGUAUGACCUGCUGCAUGUUCAAUGGAGUGUACCAACUACCAAGUGCUAGAAGCAUCAUUAUAGAUUAAUUAUGUACCAGAUCACUUUGCUUCAGCCUUUUAGGAGCAUUUUUCUAUAUUACAUACAUGUUCGUGCAACACUGCCAAAUACAUAUAGCCGGGAAAUGCAGAUGAACGGG